GAGGGUACAGCUAAAGCGGUAGAGCACAUGCUUAGCAAGCAUGAGGUCCUGGGUUCAAUCCCCAGUACCUCCU
rnacentral:tRNA from 1 species